AGGUUAGGUCUCCUAAACUCACUCAGAAAGGAAGAAGAUAGUGAAGAGGUGACUUCCACAAAGGAAACAUUAGGUGAUAGGUGAAAAUUAUCCAUCUGGAAAAGACCACAAAGCCAACGGCUAGCCCCAAUUACCUCCAUGAAGAAUGAUAAUGCACCGAACAAGAACAAGAAUCAAGUAACACUAUGCAAGGAUGACCGAUAAGCUAGCUCAAAAUUCAUUGAUAGCUUGUAAACAUGAAAAUAAGAGGAAACAAAAAAUCAACCAAUAAUGUGUUACGUGCUCCAUUUUCCUUGACUCUCGGCAGGCACUUGGAACGUGGGGUGCUUGGCUAUCAUCAUCUGCAUCAAAUAUGCUGGAGAAGACCAGGUCAUGCUCCAGUUCCAGAAGCAGUUCCUAUUCUUCAGCACGAGUUCUAUUCUUUAGCUGUAACUCCUAGUCUUUUGGCAUUAGUUGUGACGUGCUUGAUUUCUGUUGGAUGUAAGGCUAUUAAUAUAGCCAGUUGAAUUCAAUAAAAGGAGGCUCUUUUGU
rnacentral:lncRNA from 1 species